AUGGUUAGAAGUGUCUUUCUAAAAAAAAGGUUAGAAAUGCUAAUUAAAAGGCUUAAUGAACAACUGAGAUUUAGUAAGGGCAUUGGACACAUCAUCUGGUCUUCGUCUUCCGAGCUCUCCACAUUGACCCUGUCAGUGAUCGCCUGCUCGGGUUCGUUGUCGGCCGCCUUCUCCAUCGUCCGGUCUUCUUCCUCCGAGCUCUCCUCUGGCGAGCUUGGAGGCAGACUCACCUCCGAGUUCUCUGUGCCAGGCCAGCCAGUUUUGAACGAUGCCCGCGAUCUCGUGCCUUCAUGGCACUUUAUGAAGACCCAAAUAAGCUUACAUCGUUUGCAAGUACAUCAAUGA
rnacentral:rRNA from 1 species